UGGGGAAUAUUGCACAAUGGGCGAAAGCCUGAUGCAGCAACGCCGCGUGAGUGAUGAAGGUCUUCGGAUUAUAAAGCUCUGUCUUUUGGGACGAUAAUGACGGUACCAAAGGAGGAAGCCACGGCUAACUACGUGCCAGCAGCCGCGGUAAUACGUAGGUGGCGAGCGUUGUCCGGAUUUACUGGGCGUAAAGGGUGCGUAGGCGGAUGUUUAAGUGAGAUGUGAAAUACCCGGGCUUAACUUGGGUGCUGCAUUUCAAACUGGAUAUCUAGAGUGCAGGAGAGGAGAAUGGAAUUCCUAGUGUAGCGGUGAAAUGCGUAGAGAUUAGGAAGAACACCAGUGGCGAAGGCGAUUCUCUGGACUGUAACUGACGCUGAGGCACGAAAGCGUGGGUAGCAAACAGGAUUAGAUACCCUGGUAGUCCACGCCGUAAACGAUGAGUACUAGGUGUAGGAGGUAUCGACCCCUUCUGUGCCGCAGUAAACACAUUAAGUACUCCGCCUGGGAAGUACGAUCGCAAGAUUAAAAC
rnacentral:rRNA from 1 species